GAUGAACGCUGGCGGUGUGCCUAAUACAUGCAAGUCGUACGCAUUCUCGUUUCUGAUUGACGGUGCUUGCACCUAAUUGACGAGACAUUGGAAUGAGUGGCGGACGGGUGAGUAACACGUGGGUAACCUGCCCAGAAGUGGGGAUAACAUUUGGAAACAGAUGCUAAUACCGCAUAAAAGUCAAAACCACAUGGUUUUGAUUUAAAAGAUGGCCUUUGUGCUGUCACUUCUGGAUGGACCCGCGGCGUAUUAGCUAGUUGGUAAGGUAACGGCUUACCAAGGCAAUGAUACGUAGCCGAACUGAGAGGUUGAUCGGCCACAAUGGGACUGAGACACGGCCCAUACUCCUACGGGAGGCAGCAGUAGGGAAUCUUCCACAAUGGGCGCAAGCCUGAUGGAGCAACACCGCGUGAGUGAAGAAGGGUUUCGGCUCGUAAAACUCUGUUGUUAAAGAAGAACGUAUCUAAGAGUAACUGCUUAGGUAGUGACGGUAUUUAACCAGAAAGCCACGGCUAACUACGUGCCAGCAGCCGCGGUAA
rnacentral:rRNA from 1 species